rnacentral:rRNA from 1 species
UGGGGAAUCUUGCACAAUGGGGGCAACCCUGAUGCAGCGACGCCGCGUGAGCGAUGAAGGUUUUCGAAUCGUAAAGCUCUGUCCUAUGGGAAGAUAAUGACGGUACCAUAGGAGGAAGCCCCGGCUAACUACGUGCCAGCAGCCGCGGUAAUACGUAGGGGGCGAGCGUUGUCCGGAUUUAUUGGGCGUAAAGCGAGCGCAGGCGGUCAAUUAAGUCUGAUGUGAAAGCCCCCGGCUCAACCGGGGAGGGUCAUUGGAAACUGGUUGACUUGAGUGCAGAAGAGGAGAGUGAAUUCCAUGUGUAGCGGUGAAAUGCGUAGAUAUAUGGAGGAACACCGGUGGCGAAAGCGGCUCUCUGGUCUGUAACUGACGCUGAGGCUCGAAAGCGUGGGGAGCGAACAGG